AAUAAAAUUCAUUAAAUAUAUUUAAUUUUGUAGAAUAUUUUUCAAUAAUUAAAAUAAUAUUAUAUUUUAAAAAAUUUAGUAUACUAACAGAAAAAAAAAUAAUUUUUAUAUAAACAGUAUUGAAAAAGAAAAAUAUAAUUAUUUUAAAAAAAUUAAUAAAAUUUAUUACCUUUUGUAUCAGGGUUUAUUAAAAUUACUAAAUAAAUUUUUUUUUUCUCGAAAUAAAAUGAUCUAAUUAAUUAAUAUAGUUAAUAUAUAAAUAUUAUUAUAAAUUAUUAAUUAGAAAUGAUAGGUUUAUCAGAUUUUAAAUAUCUAGUUAUUUUAUAAAUAAAUUUAAUUUAAUUAAAAUUAUUUUUAAUAAAUUAAUUACUUAAUUUAUUAAUUAAUUUUAUAAAUAUUAUUAGGGAUAAACUUAAUAAUAAUAUUAACAUUAUUAUUUUGUAAAUUUAUUUUUAUAGAAAUAGAAAUUUUUAUUAAUAAAUAGUUUAUAAUAAUUAAUAUUAUAAAAAAAUAAUUUAUAAAAAAUUUAUUUAAUUAUAAAAUUAUUAAAUUUAAUAAAUUAAUUUAAUUAAUAAUGAUAAAAUUAGUAAAAUUAAAUAUAUAAUAUUAUAUAAAAUGAUAGAUUAUUUUAAGGAAUUAGGCAAAUACUUUUAUUCAACUGUUUAUUAAAAACAUAGUUUAAUAGAAUAUAAUAUUAAAUUAUUUCUGCUCAAUGAUUGUUAAUUAAAUAGCUGCAGUAUUUUAACUGUACAAAGGUAGCAUAAUCAAUUGUCUUUUUAUUAAAGUCUGGAAUGAAUGAAUUUAUGAAAUAAUAACUGUCUCAAAUUAAAUAAAAUUUAAAUUUUAUUAUUAGUAAAAAUUCUAAUAUAUUAUUAAAAGACGAGAAGACCCUAUAGAAUUUUAUAAAUUAUUUAAUUAAUUAAUUUAUUCAUAAAUUUAAUUAUUUAAUUAUUUAUUAUAUUGGGGGUAUAAAAAAAUUUAAAAAAUUUUUUUAAUAAAUUAAACAAAAAUAUUUGAAUAUUUUAUAUCUAAUAUUAUUAAAUUUAAAAUAAAUUACCUUAGGGAUAACAGCGUUAAAUUUUUAAAGAGUUCAUAUUGAUAAAAAUUAUUGCGACCUCGAUGUUGAAUUAAAAUAAAUUAUUAUCGUAGAUGAUAAUAUAAUUUAGUCUGUUCGACUAUUAAAAUUUUACAUGAUUUGAGUUUAGAUCGGCGUAAGCCAGAUCGGAUUCUAUCUUUAAUAAAUUCAUAAUAUUUUUGUACGAAAGGACUUAAUAUUAAUAAUAAUUAUUUAUAUAUUGAAUAAAUUUAAUUAA
rnacentral:rRNA from 1 species